rnacentral:lncRNA from 10 species
CAUGGAAACCUGGCAGACCUCAGAUUCCCCGGGACAGGGCAGGAGCAGGGCCGGGAAGGGCCUGGCAAGCCCACUGCGGGGGGUGGGUGGGCAGGAUUGUCAGAGGAUGGCCACUGUGGCAGAAGCCUCAGAAGAUCAGACGCUUCCAGAGUCUGGACGAGCCGCCUUCCCGGCCGGUGCUUCCCGGCUCUCUGCCCCCUGG